rnacentral:rRNA from 1 species
CCCCCAGACUCCUACGGGAGGCAGCAGUGGGGAAUAUUGGGCAAUGGGCGCAAGCCUGACCCAGCAACGCCGCGUGAAGGAAGAAGGCCCUCGGGUUGUAAACUUCUUUUAUCAAGGACGAAACAAAUGACGGUACUUGAUGAAUAAGCCACGGCUAACUACGUGCCAGCAGCCGCGGUAAUACGUAGGUGGCAAGCGUUAUCCGGAUUUACUGGGUGUAAAGGGCGUGUAGGCGGGACUGCAAGUCAGAUGUGAAAGCCCGGGGCUCAACCCCGGGACUGCAUUUGAAACUGUCAGGCUGGAGUGCAGGAGAGGUAAGUGGAAUUCCUAGUGUAGCGGUGAAAUGCGUAGAUAUUAGGAGGAACACCAGUGGCAAAGGCGGAUUGCUGGACAGUAACUGACGCUGAGGCGCGAAAGCGUGGGGAGCAAACAGGAUUAGAUACCCCUGUA